GAUGAAGAACGUAGCGAAAUGCGAUACUUGGUGUGAAUUGCAGAAUCCCGCGAAUCAUCGAGUUUUUGAACGCAAGUUGCGCCCGAAGCCAUUCGGCCGAGGGCACGUCUGCCUGGGUGUCACGCAUCGUUGCCCCCCCAAACUCCGGUUCGGGCGGGGCGGAAGUUGGCCUCCCGUGCGUGCCUGCGCGCGCGGUUAGCCCAAAAGCGAGUCCUGGGCGAUGAGCGCCACGACAAUCGGUGGUUUUUUUACCCUCGUUCCUCGUCGUGCGUGCCCCGUCGCCCGAACGCGCUCUUGCAACCCUUACGCGUCGCCUCGGUGGCGCUCCCAACGCGACCCCAGGUCAGGCGGGACUACCCGCUGAGUUUAAGCAUAUCAAUAAGCGGAGGA
rnacentral:misc_RNA from 1 species